AUGGCGAUGAGGCAGCCACGCUGCUCCAUCUUUCCUCGAUGGCGGAUCUGGCGACAGAGGCAGCAGGGCAUGGGCGGAGAAGAAUUGCCUGCCGGUGAAGAAGCACAUCUCACGGGAGGUGGUCUCGCGGCCAUGGAGGAGGAGCGACCCGACGUUGUGUGGCCAUGGUGGGGGAGAAGGGAGCCGGCGGUGCGCCAGAUUCGACAGAAGAUGGGGAUGGGGAACGAGAGAGAGGGGGACUGA
rnacentral:rRNA from 1 species